AUUGAACGCUGGCGGAAUGCUUUACACAUGCAAGUCGAGCGGCAGCACGGGGGCAACCCUGGUGGCGAGCGGCGAACGGGUGAGUAAUACAUCGGAACAUGCCCAGUCGUGGGGGAUAACACUUCGAAAGAAGUGCUAAUACCGCAUACGUCCUGAGGGAGAAAGCGGGGGAUCUUCGGACCUCGCGCGAUUGGAGUGGCCGAUGUCAGAUUAGCUAGUUGGUGGGGUAAAGGCCUACCAAGGCAACGAUCUGUAGCUGGUCUGAGAGGAUGAUCAGCCACACUGGGACUGGGACACGGCCCAGAAUCCUACGGGAGGCAGCAGUGGGGAAUUUUGGACAAUGGGGGCAACCCUGAUCCAGCCAUUCCGCGUGAGUUAAGAAGGCCUUCGGGUUGUAAAGCUCUUUCGGCAGGAACGAAACGGCGAGCUCUAAUGUCCAUUCCUAAUGACGGUACCUGAAGAAUAAGCACCGGCUAACUACGUGCCAGCCGCCGCCGUAACAC
rnacentral:rRNA from 1 species